rnacentral:misc_RNA from 1 species
UCAGGCAGCGACAUCCGCUUGUUCAUUCUUGCUCAGGACUUGCCCAAGAUCAUCUUGACUUGGCUCUUUUUGGUACACUGUGUUGCAUGCCAACAUUGAUGGAAUUUUUGACGCUGUCGCUUGUCCCUAAAUUCACCUUGUGCUGCUCAUGUGGUGCGGGGUGAACACCGUAGUGCCUCGUGAUGCCCUGGCCGUCGUCACUUCUUGUGCUGUCGGUUUGGGCGACACUGGAAACUCGAACUCUCGGAUACAGAAAGUAAUGUUGGGCGUAUGGGGGUCUAGCACUCCGUAAGCCCAGAUUGAGCGCUCUCGCCAACGACGUUGACAUCCAGGGUCUCCAACUGUCGGGAUAGCUGGCUGACGUUGUUGGGCAGAGAGCAUCGAAAGACAAACUGUCGAACGUCGUUCCGUAGAGGUCCUGAGGCGUACGACCCUACGACCAAAGGCUUCUCGGGUCGGGGUACAUCGGCAUGUUUGCCAAGGAAUGCUACCUGG